rnacentral:rRNA from 1 species
UGGGGAAUAUUGGACAAUGGGCGCAAGCCUGAUCCAGCAAUGCCGCGUGUGUGAAGAAGGCCUGCGGGUUGUAAAGCACUUUUAGCAGGAAAGAAGGGUGGUUCGCUAAUAUCGGACUGCAUUGACGUUACCUGCAGAAAAAGCACCGGCUAACUCCGUGCCAGCAGCCGCGGUAAUACGGAGGGUGCGAGCGUUAAUCGGAAUUAUUGGGCGUAAAGCGUGCGUAGGCGGUUUGAUAAGUCAGAUGUGAAAGCCCUGGGCUUAACCUGGGAACGGCAUUUGAUACUGUCAGACUAGAGUGUGGAAGAGGGGAGUGGAAUUUCCGGUGUAGCAGUGAAAUGCGUAGAGAUCGGAAGGAACACCAGUGGCGAAGGCGGCUCUCUGGUCCAACACUGACGCU